AAUCAACGCUGGCGGCGUGCCUAACACAUGCAAGUCGCACGAGAAAGGGGCUUCGGCCCUGAGUAAAGUGGCGCACGGGUGAGUAACACGUGAAUGAUUUACCCUCGAGUGGGGAAUAACCUGGAGAAAUCUAGGCUAAUACCGCAUAACACUUACGAGUCAAAGCAGCAAUGCGCUUGAGGAGGAGUUCGCGGCAGAUUAGUUAGUUGGCGGGGUAAUGGCCCACCAAGACGAUGAUCUGUAUCCGGCCUGAGAGGGCGCACGGACACACUGGAAC
rnacentral:rRNA from 1 species